rnacentral:rRNA from 1 species
GACGAACGCUGGCGGCGUGCCUAAUACAUGCAAGUAGAACGCUGAAGGAGGAGCUUGCUCUUCUGGAUGAGUUGCGAACGGGUGAGUAACGCGUAGGUAACCUGCCUGGUAGCGGGGGAUAACUAUUGGAAACGAUAGCUAAUACCGCAUAACAGUAGAUGCUGCAUGACAUUUGCUUAAAAGGUGCAAUUGCAUCACUACCAGAUGGACCUGCGUUGUAUUAGCUAGUUGGUGGGGUAACGGCUCACCAAGGCGACGAUACAUAGCCGACCUGAGAGGGUGAUCGGCCACACUGGGACUGAGACACGGCCCAGACUCCUACGGGAGGCAGCAGUAGGGAAUCUUCGGCAAUGGACGGAAGUCUGACCGAGCAACGCCGCGUGAGUGAAGAAGGUUUUCGGAUCGUAAAGCUCUGUUGUAAGAGAAGAACGAGUGUGAGAGUGGAAAGUUCACACUGUGACGGUAUCUUACCAGAAAGGGACGGCUAACUACGU